AUUGAACGCUGGCGGCAGGCCUAACACAUGCAAGUCGAGCGAGCGGCGGACGGGUGAGUAAUGUCUGGGGAUCUGCCCGAUAGAGGGGGAUAACUACUGGAAACGGUAGCUAAUACCGCAUACUAUCGGAUGAACCCAUAUGGGAUUAGCUAGUAGGUGGGGUAAAGGCUCACCUAGGCGACGAUCUCUAGCUGGUCUGAGAGGAUAACCAGCCAGACUGGGACGGAGACACGGCCCAGAUUCCUACGGGAGGCAGCAGUGGGGAAUAGUGCACAAUGGGCGCAAGCCUGAUGCAGCCAUGCCGCGUGUAUGAAGAAGGCCUUCGGGUUGUAAAGUACUUUCAGUGGGGAGGCGUUACCGACAGAAGAAGCACCGGCUAACUCCGUGCCAGCAGCCGCGGUAAUAC
rnacentral:rRNA from 1 species